GGUAUGUGGCUUAGUGGUAGAGUGCUUGCCUAGCAAACAUGAAGCCCUGGGUUCAAUUCCAGAGUACCA
rnacentral:tRNA from 1 species